CAAAAAAGCAGGAACUAGGGUGGAGCGUCAAACCAGCCAAAAAAAGCAGCCCAAAAAUAAGUAGGGGCGUGCGGGGAGGUGCUAGGGAUGUGUCCAGCGGCGUGUGGUGGCGGUGGCGGCGACACUUAGGGACCCCUGUGGCGUACGGUGACGGCGGCGCUUAGGGGUCCCUGCGGCGUGCGGUGGCGGUAGCGCUUAGUGGUCUCUGCGGCGAGCGGCGGCGGCGCUUAGGGAUCCCUACAGCGGCGGUGGCGGUGCCUAGGGGUUCCCGAACCAGCGUAACGGGACUAACCUCCUCUGGGACGGCCGGAACGGAACAAACCUCCUGGCACACGCAGUUAGGGCUGGAGACGAAAGGGGGAAAAGGUGGUUCCUAGCAGCGGCGACGAAGCAGAAGAUAGAGAGGCCUAGGGGUAGUCGUGGACGACCUACCACGAGGUCUUGUCCCGGCGUGCCUCCGGGAGGAGGGCAUCCUACACGUCUGCGCCGCGCGGAACGUCGCCGACAAGCCUUACUCGCGCCCGCGCUGUUGGAACAGGGUCAGCUGCUACCGCCGCCGCUUGUGGCCACGAGGAAGAGCAGGAGAUGGAGGUUCCUUCGCGUGGCCAUGUCGAGUCCGUGGGGGCAGGGGUUUAGGGCAGGUGGGUAGGCUACAACAGGUCGAGUAGGAGUGCGAGCACCUAAGCGGAGGAGGAUAUGCGCUGUGAACUUUGUACCUGCACCACCUCCAUCAGUACAACCGUGGUGACAAAACGAAGCACGACUACACCAUAUUUUCACGGAGGAGCCGUCUACUCCUGGACUCGCACCGGCACGAUUACUCCUACGUCCUAGGUGACGGUGGCCGGUCAGGCUCACUAACGUCUCUUGAACCGUCCGUCUAGUUAAUGCUCCUCCAGUUCCGACUCGACUUCACCCCACCCGCGGUUGUACUUCCUCAACCUCUAUAGAGAUAAAAACAGUCAGUAAUAAGUCCGAGAUUCGUAGGGGAAAGGGAUAUGGUGUAAUGAACUAUAAUAAUUUAAGUCAUGAGAAUGAGUUGACACUUGUUCAAGUACACCAUUCAUCCUAGUUGUUCUCAACCGACCGUUGACGAUACAUAUACAAUAAUACCUAGUCGGUUCCACCAAUUUAAAAUUAAAAAAAAAGGAAAAAGAAUUAAAUACGGGAAUUCAAAUACAACAAUUUACGUAUGUGUAUUGAAUCAAGGUCUAAAUUGUUCUCAUGUAAAAUGUUACUUGAAGUAUCGACUACAACUAGUAUUAAUCAUUCACAUGUUUCGUAAAGUUCCUUAAAGACAGAACACGUAUAACAUAUAACGUCUGAACUUCACUUCAUCACGGUAGAUUCAUGGUCUACAUACAAUAAAAGUUUAUUCGAAAAGAAUUUUACCUUUUAUGAUUUUUCGUUUAACACGGUGUGGCACGUUAAUUCCACGGAAAAUGACCUUUGAGUUACGUUGAAGAACAAUAAAAGUUUAUUCGAAAAGAAUUUUACCUUUUUAUGAUUUUUCGCCUAACACGGUGUGGCACGUUAAUUCCACGGAAAAUGACCUUUGAGUUAGGCUGAAGAACAAUAAGGAAGACUUGCAUCGUUAAUUCGGUAUAGAACAAAAGUGAGGAAGACUUGGAUCGUUUUACUGGACGAACCUGGCUUGCUCCUGUCCACACACCACCACCUGUAUUCUACGUGCCGCUUGUAACUCGGCGUCUUCUUGUAAUACUUUCUCCAACCUCUCCGACCUCCUCUGGUAUAUGGUUGUGUUUCGCGUAGAACUACCGGUAGUUACUCCUCGGCCUGGACGAUGUGGUCCGAUUAACGUUCGUAGCCCUACUAAACCUGCUCUACUGACUACUCCUGUACUCGCAACAGCCUACUGAACCUGCUCUCCUGACAUCGUACUGCGUUACUUCUCGGUCUAGCAGGCAGGCGAGGGUCGAGUGAAGGGUCAAGACAACACGACGGGGCACGUGGUUGGUAGGUCAUUUCAACUUUUAUUUACGACCUUUUCUAUAAUUUUAAGUUUAGACCGAAUAAAAAGAGUUAUACCCAAGUCUUCCUUUAACAGCAACUCGAAGAUAGAUUUCCGUGAAAAAGUAAUCUAAAGUCGUCGCCGACUACCAUCGUUGGAGUACCCGGUGUGUAGGGGAAGAAAUUAACGUACGGGAGUGUUUUACCUACCCCUGAACCAAGAAACCAACAGCGGCGGCCUGAGCCACUUCCUGCUUUUUGACUCUACUAGGUCACCUCUUAUCUACGGUGCCCGACUUCUUUCCUCCGCUGCCAAAGUCUCGUGUGUGGAACUUCACCUUUCCGCUGUUCCCUCAUGCAGACCUACCGUCUCCCUCGCCCUGUUCCGUUGUAGUGUACCCUCCGUACCAGUUUUAGCCGCAGCAUCCUCGUUAGUACGCACACCCCCAGCAUGGUCCCUCUUCCUUUUCCCACCAGCCAAAAGAUCCCGAAAAAAGGAACGUAGCCCUUUACCCAAGCCAACUUUUUUUACUACUACACCCCUCUAGUGCGCUCACCACCUAUGCACCCAUGGUAAAUUGCAUGGUUGACGCGAAAUUAUCAUCUCUAAUUCUACAACUAUAAAAUAAGUAAAAGAAGAAUCGACUUGUAAGAAAUUUGGUUUUUAGAUACUUUGAACAUUACAUAGUACCAGCGUUAAACACUUCAUCUUGAUUGAUAGGAAACUGGUAAGUAAUUAAAAAUACAUGAACAGCGGGCACUGUUGUUUAUACCUAGUUUAUUGAUACGUGAUACCCG
rnacentral:rRNA from 1 species